rfam:Solanum lycopersicum cultivar Heinz 1706 chromosome 8, whole genome shotgun sequence.
GUGAGAUGGAAUCAACGUUUGGACAUGUGAUUUCACGUUGAUUCCAUCUCAUGA